rnacentral:rRNA from 1 species
UACGGAGGAUCCAAGCGUUAUCCGGAAUUAUUGGGUUUAAAGGGUCCGCAGGCUGUUUGUUAAGUCAGGGGUGAAAUCCUACCGCUCAACGGUAGAACUGCCUUUGAUACUGGCAAACUUGAGUUAUUGUGAAGUAGUUAGAAUGUGUAGUGUAGCGGUGAAAUGCAUAGAUAUUACACAGAAUACCAAUUGCGAAGGCAGAUUACUAACAAUUAACUGACGCUGAGGGACGAAAGCGU